GGUGAAAAGCACCCCGGAAGGGGAGUGAAAUAGAACCUGAAACCGUGUGCUUACAAGUAGUCAGAGCCCGUUAAUGGGUGAUGGCGUGCCUUUUGUAGAAUGAACCGGCGAGUUACGAUUUGAUGCAAGGUUAAGCAGUAAAUGUGGAGCCGUAGCGAAAGCGAGUCUGAAUAGGGCGUUUAGUAUUUGGUCGUAGACCCGAAACCAGGUGAUCUACCCUUGGUCAGGUUGAAGUUCAGGUAACACUGAAUGGAGGACCGAACCGACUUACGUUGAAAAGUGAGCGGAUGAACUGAGGGUAGCGGAGAAAUUCCAAUCGAACCUGGAGAUAGCUGGUUCUCUCCGAAAUAGCUUUAGGGCUAGCCUCAAGUGAUGAUUAUUGGAGGUAGAGCACUGUUUGGACGAGGGGCCCCUCUCGGGUUACCGAAUUCAGACAAACUCCGAAUGCCAAUUAAUUUAACUUGGGAGUCAGAACAUGGGUGAUAAGGUCCGUGUUCGAAAGGGAAACAGCCCAGACCACCAGCUAAGGUCCCAAAAUAUAUGUUAAGUGGAAAAGGAUGUGGCGUUGCCCAGACAACUAGGAUGUUGGCUUAGAAGCAGCCAUCAUUUAAAGAGUGCGUAAUAGCUCACUAGUCGAGUGACACUGCGCCGAAAAUGUACCGGGGCUAAACAUAUUACCGAAGCUGUGGAUUGUCCUUUGGACAAUGGUAGGAGAGCGUUCUAAGGGCGUUGAAGCAUGAUCGUAAGGACAUGUGGAGCGCUUAGAAGUGAGAAUGCCGGUGUGAGUAGCGAAAGACGGGUGAGAAUCCCGUCCACCGAUUGACUAAGGUUUCCAGAGGAAGGCUCGUCCGCUCUGGGUUAGUCGGGUCCUAAGCUGAGGCCGACAGGCGUAGGCGAUGGAUAACAGGUUGAUAUUCCUGUACCACCUAUAAUCGUUUUAAUCGAUGGGGGGAC
rnacentral:rRNA from 1 species